rnacentral:rRNA from 1 species
UUAAGCGACUAAGCGUACACGGUGGAUGCCUAGGCAGUCAGAGGCGAUGAAGGGCGUGCUAAUCUGCGAUAAGCGUCGGUAAGCUGAUAUGAAGCGUUACAACCGACGAUACCCGAAUGGGGAAACCCAGUGCAAUUCGUUGCACUAUUGCAUGGUGAAUACAUAGCCAUGCAAGGCGAACCGGGGGAACUGAAACAUCUAAGUACCCCGAGGAAAAGAAAUCAACCGAGAUUCCCCUAGUAGCGGCGAGCGAACGGGGAAGAGCCCAGAGUCUGAAUCAGUUUGUGUGUUAGUGGAAGCGUCUGGAAAGUCGCAGGGUACAGGGUGAUACUCCCGUACACAAAAACACACUUGCUGUGAACUCGAUGAGUAGGGCGGGACACGUGACAUCCUGUCUGAAUAUGGGGGGACCAUCCUCCAAGGCUAAAUACUCCUGACUGACCGAUAGUGAACCAGUACCGUGAGGGAAAGGCGAAAAGAACCCCGGCGAGGGGAGUGAAAUAGAACCUGAAACCGUGUACGUACAAGCAGUGGGAGCCUUGAUUUAUCAGGGUGACUGCGUACCUUUUGUAUAAUGGGUCAGCGACUUAUAUUUUGUAGCAAGGUUAACCGAAUAGGGGAGCCGUAGGGAAACCGAGUCUUAACUGGGCGUCUAGUUGCAAGGUAUAGACCCGAAACCCGGUGAUCUAGCCAUGGGCAGGUUGAAGGUUGGGUAACACUAACUGGAGGACCGAACCGACUAAUGUUGAAAAAUUAGCGGAUGACUUGUGGCUGGGGGUGAAAGGCCAAUCAAACCGGGAGAUAGCUGGUUCUCCCCGAAAGCUAUUUAGGUAGCGCCUCGUGAACUCAUCUUCGGGGGUAGAGCACUGUUUCGGCUAGGGGGUCAUCCCGACUUACCAAACCGAUGCAAACUCCGAAUACCGAAGAAUGUUAUCACGGGAGACACACGGCGGGUGCUAACGUCCGUCGUGAAGAGGGAAACAACCCAGACCGCCAGCUAAGGUCCCAAAGUCAUGGUUAAGUGGGAAACGAUGUGGGAAGGCAUAGACAGCCAGGAUGUUGGCUUAGAAGCAGCCAUCAUUUAAAGAAAGCGUAAUAGCUCACUGGUCGAGUCGGCCUGCGCGGAAGAUGUAACGGGGCUAAACCAUGCACCGAAGCUGCGGCAGCGACGCUUAGGCGUUGUUGGGUAGGGGAGCGUUCUGUAAGCCGUUGAAGGUGACCUGUAAGGGUUGCUGGAGGUAUCAGAAGUGCGAAUGCUGACAUAAGUAACGAUAAUGCGGGUGAAAAACCCGCACGCCGGAAGACCAAGGGUUCCUGUCCAACGUUAAUCGGGGCAGGGUGAGUCGACCCCUAAGGCGAGGCUGAAAAGCGUAGUCGAUGGGAAACAGGUUAAUAUUCCUGUACUUGGUGUUACUGCGAAGGGGGGACGGAGAAGGCUAGGCUAGCCGGGCGACGGUUGUCCCGGUUUAAGCAUGUAGGCGGAGCGACUUGGUAAAUCCGGUUGCUUAUCAACGCUGAGGUGUGAUGACGAGCCACUACGGUGGUGAAGUAGUUGAUGCCAAGCUUCCAGGAAAAGCCUCUAAGCAUCAGGUAACAUUAAAUCGUACCCCAAACCGACACAGGUGGUCAGGUAGAGAAUACUCAGGCGCUUGAGAGAACUCGGGUGAAGGAACUAGGCAAAAUGGUGCCGUAACUUCGGGAGAAGGCACGCUGGCAUUAGGUAAUGGGACUUGCUCCCGGCGCCGAAGCCAGUCGCAGAUACCAGCUGGCUGCAACUGUUUAAUAAAAACACAGCACUGUGCAAACACGAAAGUGGACGUAUACGGUGUGACGCCUGCCCGGUGCUGGAAGGUUAAUUGAUGGGGUCAGCCGCAAGGCGAAGCUCUUGAUCGAAGCCCCAGUAAACGGCGGCCGUAACUAUAACGGUCCUAAGGUAGCGAAAUUCCUUGUCGGGUAAGUUCCGACCUGCACGAAUGGCGUAAUGAUGGCCAGGCUGUCUCCACCCGAGACUCAGUGAAAUUGAACUCGCUGUGAAGAUGCAGUGUACCCGCGGCAAGACGGAAAGACCCCGUGAACCUUUACUAUAGCUUGACACUGAACAUUGAGCCUUGAUGUGUAGGAUAGGUGGGAGGCAUCGAAGUGUGGACGCCAGUCUGCAUGGAGCCAACCUUGAAAUACCACCCUUUAAUGUUUGAUGUUCUAACUCGGCCCCAUAAUCUGGGGUGAGGACAGUGUCUGGUGGGUAGUUUGACUGGGGCGGUCUCCUCCCAAAGAGUAACGGAGGAGCACGAAGGUUAGCUAAUCACGGUCGGACAUCGUGAGGUUAGUGCAAAGGCAUAAGCUAGCUUGACUGCGAGAGUGACGGCUCGAGCAGGUACGAAAGUAGGUCUUAGUGAUCCGGUGGUUCUGAAUGGAAGGGCCAUCGCUCAACGGAUAAAAGGUACUCCGGGGAUAACAGGCUGAUACCGCCCAAGAGUUCAUAUCGACGGCGGUGUUUGGCACCUCGAUGUCGGCUCAUCACAUCCUGGGGCUGAAGUAGGUCCCAAGGGUAUGGCUGUUCGCCAUUUAAAGUGGUACGCGAGCUGGGUUUAGAACGUCGUGAGACAGUUCGGUCCCUAUCUGCCGUGGGCGUUGGAAGAUUGAGAGGGGCUGCUCCUAGUACGAGAGGACCGGAGUGGACGAAUCACUGGUGUUCGGGUUGUCAUGCCAAUGGCAUUGCCCGGUAGCUAAAUUCGGAAGAGAUAACCGCUGAAAGCAUCUAAGCGGGAAACUUGCCUCGAGAUGAGUCUUCCCUGGGGCUUUAAGCCCCCUGAAGGAACGUUAAAGACUAUGACGUUGAUAGGCUGGGUGUGUAAGUGCAGCGAUGCAUUGAGCUAACCAGUACUAAUGAUCCGUGAGGCUUAACCUU